rnacentral:misc_RNA from 1 species
AUGUUUUAAAUUCAUUAAAUAAUAGCUUGGCGGAUUUUAAAAAUAUUAAAAACAAUAUACGAUGUAGUCUAUCUACAUUUAGUUUCAUGUUUAAAGAACCACUUAAAUUAGUUUUUGAAGCAUUUAAAAAAAGAGAGAAACCGGACAAACAAUUAUAAGAUGAAAACAGUGGUUCUUGUGUUAUGUUUUUUGGUGAAUGUUUUGUUACACUUCAGUGGUUCAGCACGUACCUGUGCAAAUCUAGACAACUUCAACUUUUUACGAAGGAACAGAGACCUAACGGGCUUUCUAAUAGACGUUAUAGAAAACAUUGGAAUUGUAGAAUGUGCGGCAGAAUGCAAGCUCCGCAACAAGUGCAAAUCAAGCAGCUUUCAGCAUUCCAGUGGGAAAUGUAAACUUUUUGGAAUUACAAUCCAACAAGCAGGAAACUCGGUUGUCACAAAAACUGGAACUGAUAUGAGUGAUGAAUUAAACUGGCCUUCAAGAAUAGCCGGUCCUUGCGAAGACCAUACCUGUUCUAUCAACGAAGUUUGUGAACCGACGAGCAGAUACUCAAAGAAAUGUGUCGAAGCAGACUGUCCAAGCCCACCAACUGUUGCCGACGCCCAACCUGCCUUCACCACAACCUACGAGACGACCAAAAUCGGAAGUCAACUAACUUACACUUGUGAUUUUAACUUCCACCCAGUUGGUAACAGAACCUGUCUCCCAGACGGCACAUGGUCUGACUUCAAAUGUGAACUUGGUCACUGCCCAAUCGAAGACGGGUACAUACUACUUGAAAAUGUGUGCAUCAAGGUGACAAGUUAUAAGAAACAAUUUCCUGGAGCACGUGCGAAAUGCAGCGAAGCAGGUGACAGAUUGGUGGUCUUGGACACGGAGAGGAAAAAUGCAGUCGUCAGUGUCUACGUCAACACAAAUAUCGGUCCAGCGUGGUACAUUAUUGGCCUGUCUGACGUGCAAACAGAGGGCGCGUUUCUCUGGGAGGACGGACAUGUCGUCACAUUUACAAAAUGGAGACUCGGAGAACCAAACGACGAUGGAGGAAAAGAAGACUGUGUCGUGUUAGAGUCUAAGAUCAAGUCAUGGGUUGACAUCCCAUGCACGUACUCAGAACUAUACAUUUGUGAAAAACUACUCUGAGCAUGGUGACCAUAUGUCUGGCUCACCCGUUUCUUGUUGUUUGUUGUUGUUGUUUAUUGUUGUUAGUGUUGUUGUUGUUGUCGUCAAUGGUUGUUGUUGUUGACAUCCCAUGCACAGUCACAGAGAAGUACAUUUGUGAAAACCUACUCCGAGCAUGGUGGCCAUAUGCCUGGCUCGCUCUUUUCUCGUGUGUUUGUUGGGUUAAAUAAAUCUGAGCAUGGUGGCCAUAUGACGGGUUCAAUUUUUUCUCGUCAUUUUUUUAUUUUUUUAUUGUAUUGCUUCAUAUUAUUAUUAUUAUUUAACUGAGACGGCGACACUACUGUCAAAACAUCGAUGUGCUCAGUACAUAGCACAUAGUACAUAGCACGGCUCUUGAAAGGGUAGGGACAUUGCAUUGGGUUUUGCGAGUGCGUUUCGAUCCUACGACAUAAACACCUCAGUUGAGCGUUUUUAUUCUUAGCACCUUUACUGGUUAUUUAGAUUCGUGACCUAUCAUUACCUUUAAACGUCUUACGAUGGGACUGUACUGCAUCGAGCUUAAAGUUGUUGUUUUUUUGUUUUUUAUAACGGCACUAAUAGAGCACAUUUAUUUAUUAAUAAUCGAUAACUGGAUGUCAAAGGUUUGGUCAUUUUGAUGUAUAUCAUUAGAGAGAAAACCACACUACAUCUGUAGCAAGGGAUCUUCUAUAUAGACCAUGCCACAGACUGCAUACAUCGUACCACGGCAUUUGACACACCAGCACUUUGUGCACUGGUUGCAAUGAGAAAUAUCUCAAUGGUCCCACCGACGGGGAUCGAUCCUAGAUAAGCCGCGCAUGCGUGAUGCUCAAAUAGACUCUGCUGAGUGUGCUGCUUUUAGUAAAAUGUUUCCGCCUGAUAUAUAUGUAGUACACGUGUAUUUUAAGCAUAUAGGUUUUAUGUAAUUAAUGUUUAAUUUCAGGUUCUUAGAGGAGUAUGUACCUUUAAGUAUGGUAUUUAGUAUGUAUUUCAUUAAUGUUAUUUUCAGGCUGUAACAACUACAGGUUGAACAACAUAUCACUAUAAUUAACAUUUUAUCACCUUUUUUCUAGUAUUGCCCUGUAUCUGUGAUAUGUUCGUGUAUGCUGGUCAACCACGCGUGACCACAUCAGUGCAGUCAGUGUGAGCUCUUUUGGUAGCCAUAGCUACAAUACAAACACCCAAGCUAUCUUUAAACUUUGACCCUUGUCUCUUUCUCUCCCAUUGGAUAAUUAACACUCACAUGUAUCUGCAUGCUUUCUUUGGACUGACAAGACAGGACAGAAUUAUUUAGUAUUUGAAGAAACAAGUUCAGAUCAGAGAGAAAUAGUAGAAGUUUAAUUUAAAGGUUUCCCCAGUUGUUAUGGAAUAUAUCAACACAAUGCCUACGUGUAAUUCAUAUGGUAUGUUAAGCUACAGGUUAAGUCUAAUAUUUAUAUAUUUGUAAUUUUAAAUAUACUCUUGUAAUUUAUAUCCUUUCUUUCAUAAACUCAUUAAUGAUAAAGCUUUAUUACGUCAAAUAAUAAUUAUAAUUACAAUCAUUUAAAUAACCCUAUUUACUAUAAAUUAUCUCCCCUUUGCUAUAAUCAAUGAUUAUAAUUGGUGGUCACGAAAUGAUUAUUAUAUAUAUAUAUACAUGUAUGUUAACAUGAUUAAUAAUCGUGAUGACAGUAUUUAGGAUAAAGAGGAUGAUGAUUCAUAAUCAUCAGAAUGAUAAUUAAUGAUUAAUGACGGUUUUCUAUGAUUUCCAAUGUGUUUCAUUAAUAUAUGUUGUAUGUUUGUUUUACCUCGAUAGGGAUAUAUUUGUAUUGUUUUUACCAUAUUGUUAACGUUUGUGUUUUUAAUCCUUGCAGGGUGUGUCUUGUGUAUUAUGUUUACAUGAAUAAAAGAUGAUGCCCUAACCCGUA